AAUCCAUAGGUUAAUGAGGCGAACCGGGGGAACUGAAACAUCUAAGUACCCCGAGGAAAAGAAAUCAACCGAGAUUCCCCCAGUAGCGGCGAGCGAACGGGGAGGAGCCCAGAGCCUGAAUCAGCAUGUGUGUUAGUGGAAGCGUCUGGAAAGGCGCGCGAUACAGGGUGACAGCCCCGUACACAAAAGCGCAUGUGCUGUGAGCUCGAUGAGUAGGGCGGGACACGUGGUAUCCUGUCUGAAUAUGGGGGGACCAUCCUCCAAGGCUAAAUACUCCUGACUGACCGAUAGUGAACCAGUACCGUGAGGGAAAGGCGAAAAGAACCCCGGCGAGGGGAGUGAAAAAGAACCUGAAACCGUGUACGUACAAGCAGUGGGAGCACAGGUUUACCUGUGUGACUGCGUACCUUUUGUAUAAUGGGUCAGCGACUUAUAUUCUGUAGCAAGGUUAACCGAAUAGGGGAGCCGGAGGGAAACCGAGUCUUAAUUGGGCGUUAAGUUGCAGGGUAUAGACCCGAAACCCGGUGAUCUAGCCAUGGGCAGGUUGAAGGUUGGGUAACACUAACUGGAGGACCGAACCGACUAAUGUUGAAAAAUUAGCGGAUGACCUGUGGCUGGGGGUGAAAGGCCAAUCAAACCGGGAGAUAGCUGGUUCUCCCCGAAAGCUAUUUAGGUAGCGCCUCGUGAAUUCAUCUCCGGGG
rnacentral:rRNA from 1 species